rnacentral:rRNA from 1 species
AGAGUUUGAUUCUGGCUCAGGACGAACGCUGGCGGCGCGCCUAACACAUGCAAGUCGAACGAGCGAGAGAGAGCUUGCUUUCUCAAGCGAGUGGCGAACGGGUGAGUAACGCGUGAGGAACCUGCCUCAAAGAGGGGGACAACAGUUGGAAACGACUGCUAAUACCGCAUAAGCCCACGGGUCGGCAUCGACCAGAGGGAAAAGGAGCAAUCCGCUUUGAGAUGGCCUCGCGUCCGAUUAGCUAGUUGGUGAGGUAAUGGCCCACCAAGGCGACGAUCGGUAGCCGGACUGAGAGGUUGAACGGCCACAUUGGGACUGAGACACGGCCCAGACUCCUACGGGAGGCAGCAGUGGGGAAUAUUGCACAAUGGGGGAAACCCUGAUGCAGCGACGCCGCGUGGAGGAAGAAGGUCUUCGGAUUGUAAACUCCUGUUGUUGAGGAAGAUAAUGACGGUACUCAACAAGGAAGUGACGGCUAACUACGUGCCAGCAGCCGCGGUAAAACGUAGGUCACAAGCGUUGUCCGGAAUUACUGGGUGUAAAGGGAGCGCAGGCGGGAAGACAAGUUGGAAGUGAAAUCUAUGGGCUCAACCCAUAAACUGCUUUCAAAACUGUUUUUCUUGAGUAGUGCAGAGGUAGGCGGAAUUCCCGGUGUAGCGGUGGAAUGCGUAGAUAUCGGGAGGAACACCAGUGGCGAAGGCGGCCUACUGGGCACCAACUGACGCUGAGGCUCGAAAGUGUGGGUAGCAAACAAGAGUAGAUACCCUGGUAGUCCACACCGUAAACGACCCUAAGGGGGUGGAGGGGGGACCCCCUUCAGUGCCGCAGUUAACACAAUAAGUAAUACACCUGGGGAGUACGACCGCAAGGGUGAAACUCAAAGGAAAUGACGGGGGGCCGCACAAGCAGUGGAGUAUGUGGUUUAAUUCGACGCAACGCGAAGAACCUUACCAAGUCUUGACAUCCUGCGACGUGCAUAGAAAUAUGUAUUUCCUUCGGGACGCAGAGACAGGUGGUGCAUGGUUGUCGUCAGCUCGUGUCGUGAGAUGUUGGGUUAAGUCCCGCAACGAGCGCAACCCUUACUGUCAGUUACUACGCAAGAGGACUCUGGCAGGACUGCCGUUGACAAAACGGAGGAAGGUGGGGAGGACGUCAAAUCAUCAUGCCCUUUAUGACUUGGGCUACACACGUACUACAAUGGCGUUAAACAAAGAGAAGCAAGACCGCGAGGUGGAGCAAAACUCAGAAACAACGUCCCAGUUCGGACUGCAGGCUGCAACUCGCCUGCACGAAGUCGGAAUUGCUAGUAAUCGUGGAUCAGCAUGCCACGGUGAAUACGAUCCCGGGCCUUGCAC